rnacentral:rRNA from 1 species
UACAGAGGUGGCAAGCGUUGUUCGGAAUUACUGGGCGUAAAGGGCGCGUAGGCGGCCCGUCAAGUCCCGUGUGAAAGCCCCCGGCUCAACCCAGGAACUGCGUCCGAUACUGGCAGGCUUGAAUUCGGGAGAGGGAUGCGGAAUUCCAGGUGUAGCGGUGAAAUGCGUAGAUAUCUGGAGGAACACCGGUGGCGAAGGCGGCAUCCUGGACCGAUAUUGACGCUGAGGCGCGAAAGCCAGGGGAGCAAACGGG